UAAAAGCAGAACUAUAAUAUGAAACUUCCUGUAAGUCUGCAUUUAAGGGAGGAGGCAUGCCAGUAUUUCCUCCUUCCUCGCUCUCUGCUGUUUAGAAUGCAGAUGUAAUGGCUGGAGUUCUGGCAAUUAUAUCAGACCAAGAGAUGGGAGUAAGAUGCUGAGAUGGGAGUCUCAGCAAAGCCAGAAGCCUUGGUCCCCAAAGUCUCUGUGGAGUCACCAUUCCAACUCCGGACUGCCUACUUCUAGGCUUAUUUUGCAUACAUGAGAAACAUAUUCUUCUAUCUUGUCUAAACCACACUUGUUGUUGUUUUCUGUGUUGUGUACAACUGAACUUAAUCCUAAAGCAUGCAUUCAACAAUUAUUUUUAUUAAUUUAUAUAAUUAUAUGAUUAUAUUCACUUUCUGCUUCAUAAUAACUUUUAUCUAGAUUUUAAAAUCGAUUUAGUUUUAAUUAAUAAGUUUCAUUUUUUACAAGUUUUAGGCUCACAAUAAAAUUGAGCAGAAAGUACAGUUUCCACAUAACCAUCCCCCAACACACACCCAGCCCCUUCCACCACCAACAUGUCACAGUAUGUUUUGUUACAACUGAUGAAGUAAUAUUGAUGCCUCAUGUUCAACCAAAGUCCACAGUUUACAUUACAGUUCGCUCUUUGUGACCAAAGCCCACAGUUUACAUAUGGUUCACUGUUUGUGUUGUACAGUCUGUGGGCUUUGACAGAUCUAUCAUGCCAUGUAGCUACCCUUUCAGUGUCAUUCAAUAUAGUUCCAUUGGCUUAAAAAUCCCGUGUUCCAUCUAUUAAUUCCUCCUUCCAUCUUCCCAAAACCCUGGCAAACACUGAUCCUUUACUGUCUGCAUAAUUUUACCUCCCCAGAAUGUCUUAUAGUUGGAAUCAUACAGUCUGUAGCCUUUUCAGAUUGGCUUCUUGCACUUAGUAAUAUGCCUUUAUGCUUCCUCCGUUUCUUUUUUGUGGCUUAAUAGCUCUUUUUCUUUUUUAAGUGCUCAAUACUAUUCCACUGUAUGAAUAUACUACAGUUUAUUUAUCCAUUCACCUAUUGACGGACACCUUGGUGGCUUCUAAGUUUUGGCAAUUAUGAAUAAAGCUGCUAUAAACUUUUGUGCAGAGGUUUCUGGGUGGACCUAAGUUUUCAACUCAUUUGGGAGAAUAUCAAGGAGCAUGAUUGCAGAAUGAUAUGAUAAAAGUGUGUUUAGAUUUGUAAAAAACUGCCAAACUGUUUUCCACAGUGGUCGAACCAUUUUACAUUUUCACCAGCAAUGAAGGAGGGUUCCUGUUGCUCUACCAUUUGGUACUGUCAGCGUUUUGGAUAUUAGCCGUCCUAAUAGGUGCAAUGAAUGUGUCCUGCUCUUACUUGGGAUAGGUUCAAAAAUAAAUGCAAUUGAAAAAAAAUCUCCUGGGGCCAGGCGUGGUGGCUCACGCCUGUAAUCCUAGCACUUUGGGAGGCCGAAGUGGGCAGAUCAUGAAGUCAAGAGAUCGAGACUAUCCUGGCCAACAUGGUGAAACCUCAUCUCUCCUAAAAAUACAAAAAAUUAGCUGAGUAUGGUGGCACAUGUCUGUAAUCCCAGCUACUCGGGAGGCUGAGGCAGGAGAAUGGCUUGAACCCGGGAGGCAGAGGUUGCAGUGAGCCAAGAUCGUGCCACUGCACUCCAGCCUGGGUGACAGGGCUCAGACUCCGUCUAAACAAACAAAAAAAAUCUCCUGGAAGUCCCAUUUGAUCUUGGUUACAUGAGCUUACUAGAGAAUUUUGUUGUUCCCAACAUUAGCUGAGAAAUGUACUCUAAGAAGUGAAUAGACUAAAGUGGAACCAGGGUGCAGUGGAGAACGAGAGCUGUUAUCUAGAAAACCUUUCUCAGGCAUGUUUCAGCACACUCUGCUCCUGACGAUGGCUCUAUCAUCAAAGAAUUCUGUGGUCAGGUGUAUGGGAUAUGCUGCAUAGGCUCCCUAUGAGCCUCCAAAUUGUAAGUUAAAGGCUCUGAGAGCUUGGCAGUAAGUAGAAGACUCCUGGUCACAUUUGUUUAACCCAGUGUUUCCCAAACUCAUUUGGCCUUGGAACUCUAUU
rnacentral:lncRNA from 10 species